rnacentral:tRNA from 1 species
GCCGGGGUGGUGAAAUUGGUAGACACAGGGGACUCAAAAUCCCCCGCCCUCACAGGCUUGCGAGUUCGAGUCUCGCCCCCGGCACCA